AUGAAGCUCGAGGACGAGUUCAGUGGAAGAAACCAAGAAUGGAAGCUGUUUGUCCUCUGCCAUUCCGGUUUACGGUUUCGCCUGUAGCAUAUAACUACAGCCAAUGCAGCUGUUGCUGCCAAAGCAAAUGCUAUGCCAGUCAGUGUUGUCUUACUAACUUCUGAGCUUGUUUUUGGUGAAAAAAGGCCAUCUAAGCUGCUUGCUUCAUUGCUUAUCUUCAUGAUCUCAAGGCCAUUAAGGAUGGCAUUGGGGUCGCCGGAGUCGAUUGUGUUUGGGCCAACCUGGACUAGAAGGGUGGAAUUGAUGAUGCUGGAAGACUCAGCAAUCAAGUCCUUGUAG
rnacentral:rRNA from 1 species